rnacentral:rRNA from 1 species
AGGAUCAUUACCUUACACAAUCGGGGGUCGACCAGGAGCUUUGAAAAAGGCUCGUUAAGCGGUCCGCCCUGUCUGAACCCAUGUCUUUUGCGUACUACUUGUUUCCUCGGCGGGCUUGCCCGCCGGUUGGACACCAUUAAAACUCUUUUGUAAUUGCAAUCAGCGUCUGAAAACUAUAAUAGUUACAACUUUCAACAACGGAUCUCUUGGUUCUGGCAUCGAUGAAGAACGCAGCGAAAUGCGAUAAGUAGUGUGAAUUGCAGAAUUCAGUGAAUCAUCGAAUCUUUGAACGCACAUUGCGCCCCUUGGUAUUCCAUGGGGCAUGCCUGUUCGAGCGUCAUUUGUACCCUCAAGCUUUGCUUGGUGAUGGGUGUUUGUCCUAUCCUCGCGACUGGACUCGCCUUAAAGUUAUUGGCAGCCGGCAUAUAGGCCUUUGAAGCGCAGCACAUUUUGCGAUCUAAGCCUCUGUUCUGGCAUCCAUGAAGCUCAAUUAUCACUUUUGACCUCGGAUCAGGUAGGGAUGCCCGCUGAACUUAA